rnacentral:rRNA from 1 species
UGCAGUCGAGCGAUKUWUCUUCCUUCGGGAAUUGGAUUAGCGGCGGACGGGAGAGUAACACGUGKGUAACCCGCCUCAAAGUGGGGGAUAKCCUUCGGAGAGGAAGAUUAAUACCGCAUAACAUAUACCGAAUCGCAUGAUUUUCUUAUCAAAGAUAUAUUGCUUUGAGAUGGACCCGCGGCGCAUUAACUARUUGGUAAGGUAACGGCUUACCAAGGAAGUGAUGCCUARCCGACCUGAGAGGGUGAUCGGCCACUUUGGAACUGUCGGCCGUCCGGCUCCUACAGGAGGCCCCAACGGGGAAUAUUGGSCAAUGGGGGAAACCCUGACGCAGGACGCCGCGUGGGUGAUGAAGGUCUUCGGAUUGUAAAGCCCUGUUUUCUGGGACGAUAAUGACGGUACCAGAGAASGAAGCCRCGGCUAACUACKUGCCCCCAKCCGCGGUUCUACCUAGGUGGCCAGCGUUGUCUGGAUUUACUGGGCSUAAAGGGUGCGUAGGCGGAUGUUUAAGUGGGAUGUGAAUUCCCCGGGCUUAACCUGAGGGCUGCWUUCCAAACUGGAUAUCUAGCCUGCAGGACAGGAAAGGAGAGUUCCUAGUGUCUCGGUGACUUGCGUGCAGA